UGCUCCGGGAAGAUCGAGUGGCGGACGGGUGAGUAACACGUGAGCAACCUGCCUUUCAGAGGGGGAUAACGUUUGGAAACGAACGCUAAUACCGCAUAACAUCACCGGGUGGCAUCAUCUGGUGAUCAAAGGAGCAAUCCGCUGAAAGAUGGGCUCGCGCCCGAUUAGAUAGUUGGUGGGGUAAUGGCCUACCAAGUCUGCGAUCGGUAGCCGGACUGAGAGGUUGAUCGGCCACAUUGGGACUGAGACACGGCCCAGACUCCUACGGGAGGCAGCAGUGGGGAAUAUUGCACAAUGGAGGAAACUCUGAUGCAGCGACGCCGCGUGAGUGAAGACGGUCUUCGGAUUGUAAAGCUCCGUCUUCGGGGACGAUAAUGACGGUACCCGAGGAGGAAGCCACGGCUAACUACGUGCCAGCAGCCGCGGUAAUACGUAGGUGGCGAGCGUUGUCCGGAAUUACUGGGUGUAAAGGGAGCGCAGGCGGGGAGCCAAGUUGGAUGUGAAAUACCGCAGCUCAACUGCGGGGCUGCAUCCAAAACUGGUUCUCUUGAGUGAAGUAGAGGUAGGCGGAAUUCCUAGUGUAGCGGUGAAAUGCGUAGAUAUUAGGAGGAACACCAAUGGCGAAGGCGGCCUACUGGGCUUUAACUGACGCU
rnacentral:rRNA from 1 species